rnacentral:rRNA from 1 species
UGACUNGAGUGCAGAAGGGGAGAGUGGAAUUCCAUGUGUAGCGGUGAAAUGCGUAGAUAUAUGGAGGAACACCAGUGGCGAAAGCGGCUCUCUGGUCUGUCACUGACGCUGAGGCUCGAAAGCGUGGGUAGCGAACAGGAUUAGAUACCCUGGUAGUNCACGCCGUAAACGAUGAGUGCUAGGUGUUAGGCCCUUUCCGGGGCUUAGUGCCGGAGCUAACGCAAUAAGCACUCCGCCCGGGGAGUACGACCGCAAGGUUGAAACUCAAAGGAAUUGACGGGGGCCCGCACAAGCGGUGGAGCAUGUGGUUUAAUUCGAAGCAACGCGAAGAACCUUACCAGGUCUUGACAUCCCGAUGCUAUUCUUAGAGAUAGGAAGUUACUUCGGUACAUCGGAGACAGGUGGUGCAUGGUUGUCGUCAGCUCGUGUCGUGAGAUGUUGGGUUAAGUCCCGCAACGAGCGCAACCCUUAUUGUUAGUUGCCAUCAUUAAGUUGGGCACUCUAGCGAGACUGCCGGUAAUAAACCGGAGGAAGGUGGGGAUGACGUCAAAUCAUCAUGCCCCUUAUGACCUGGGCUACACACGUGCUACAAUGGUCGGUACAAUGAGUUGCGAGCCGGUGACGGCAAGCUAAUCUCUGAAAGCCGAUCUCAGUUCGGAUUGGAGGCUGCAACUCGCCUCCAUGAAGUCGGAAUCGCUAGUAAUCGCGGAUCAGCACGCCGCGGUGAAUACGUUCCCGGGCCUUGUACACACCGCCCGUCACACCACGAGAGUUUGUAACACCCGAAGUCGGUGAGGUAACCUUUUAGGGGCCAGCCGCCUAAGGUNGGA